rnacentral:misc_RNA from 1 species
GUUACAUUUAAAAAAAAGGAAAGCUCACUCUGAAAAGGAGAAAAUCAACUCAGUUAACAAAACAUGUAAAUCCCCACUCACCAAAUCGACCCAUCUUCCAUGUUCAAACUCUAGAAUUGCUGAAAGAACGCAAAUAAAGAGUUCGUCGAUCACCAUAAGAGAUCCACCAAAGGUCGCCCCAAUGAACACUAAACUUAGAUCGUCAUCAACCGCAAGGGGUUAACGCCCACCUAAGCACAACAUCCAACUUAAUAAAGAAAAGCCUUCCCACUUCUCAACAGUGAUAGCUUUACUAUAAAGGUAUUGUUGCAGAGCUCUUUGGUACUCUAAGCCAACAUGAUGACCUUUCUAGUCGUGGUGUAGAAGCAGAUCCCGGAGUUACGAACCAGCU